rnacentral:tRNA from 1 species
GCCCCUCGUAGCUCAGUGGUAGAGCGCCCUUGCAGUUACCUGGGGAGGUCGCAGGUUCGAUCCCUGUCGGGGGCC